AACGACCGGCUGGACAUGCCCUGUGAACAACUGGGCGUCCGGCCCACAAGUGGAGGCUCCGAUCUCCCACCUGACCGUCCUCCGGGACGGCGGGUCACCCGGUCAGGCGGCCACCAUCGUUCCGUACGGACGAUGGAGUCGCCCGAAAGCGCGCCCCGCGGCAUCGCGGCGGUGCUCCGGUAGUGUGUUGGAGCCCCGCCUGUGAUCGUCCGGGGCAUUUUUU
rfam:Streptomyces roseochromogenes subsp. oscitans DS 12.976 chromosome, whole genome shotgun sequence.